UACAGAGGGGGCAAGCGUUAUUCGGAAUUAUUGGGCGUAAAGGGCGCGUAGGCGGCCUGGCAAGUGGAAGGUGAAAUCCCUCGGCUUAACCGAGGAACUGCCCUCCAAACUGCUUGGCUUGAGUCCGGGAGAGGUGAGUGGAAUUCCCAGUGUAGCGGUGAAAUGCGUAGAUAUUGGGAGGAACACCGGUGGCGAAGGCGGCUCUCUGGACCGAUACUGACGCUGAGGCGCGAAAGCGUGGGGAGCAAACAGG
rnacentral:rRNA from 1 species